UAGAAAUAUUCAGUUAGGAGAAUAUCCAAUUAUGGAAGUUAUUGCUGAGAAACAGAGGGUAUUAUAAGAAAGCACAGAUGUGCGCACAGUGCUAGAGCUCAGGUACAAUACAGUUAUACAAUUACAUUGCAUACAUGGAGGUGACAUCACUGUGGCUCAGUGGUUAGCAGCACUGGUGCCUUGCUGCGCUGGGGUCCUAGGUUGAACUCCAACCAAG